GGCUUACCCACGUCAUAUUGUAUUAUCUUUUGCUGUGUACUGCUGCUAUGAGUUUGCUGCUAGGCUGUUGCUCUUUUACUCUACUGAACAAAUGCUGCAUUACUUUACUUUGUUGCUGAUAUGCUAUGAUGCCCCUUGUACUGUUGUGCUUCUAUAGGCAUUGGGGCUAUGCUUUGUGCUGCUGACUAGUAGUUGUUAGUUGGAUGGGAGGUUAUGCUAUCCACUACGCCGCACUCAUCUCUUGCUCUUCCACUACGCCGAUCACCAUCGCCGCCCAAAAAAAGGCACAGAAAGAGAUAGAAACUAGGAGUGGUUGGGUUGAGCAUGUGGACUUACAAUUUUAUUUUUUUGGCUCUGGUUUUCUGUUUCUUAUAAUUCUAGUGACAUCUUCAUUAAUUACUGAUUACAUCAUUUUCUGACUAGGGAAGUAGGUUCUUUACUCAAUUGCUUUUUAGGAUUCCUUAAAUUCAUGGUUUAUGGGGCCAAUAGAAGUGUUACAUUGCUGUCUAUGUAUAUAUAUAAUUUUUUGGGGGAGUAGAAUCUUAACCCUGCUUGCUUUCUUAUGUUAUGUGCAUCCAUAAUUCAUUAUUGCAGAUGCUAAGCACAGUACUUGUGCCCUCAUAAUCAUCUCAAUCAGAAGAUAUUUACCUUUUUGUGCUAUCUGGUGCUACUUAUGGAAGUGCUAUGGUUCAUCAUGUUGGUAUGUCAGUUCAAAUCUCUAGUAGCAAUUUACCUAUGCCACGAUUGAUUAUCGAAGCUCUUCUUACAGGCCUUUUUACAAACAAAUGGAUGUAGUCAUUUUUCAUGUAUCCUUUUUUAACACAAGACCUAUCACGAAUGAAUGAAGUAAGGCAUUAGUAUUAUUGAAGGAAAAGUAAAGCACCACCAAUUUGUUUGUGAGAUUUAAUUGGUUAUUUUCACUAGGGAACUCUGUUAGUUAACCUUAAUUUCUUAAUCACAUCUAUUUCAAUUAAA